rnacentral:tRNA from 3 species
GCUCAGGUGGCGGAAUUGGUAGACGCGCCAGGUUAAGGACCUGGUGGGGUAACCCGUGGGGGUUCGAGUCCCCCCCUGAGCACCA